rnacentral:rRNA from 1 species
AGACGGGAGAGUAUCCCUGGGAUCCUUCCUAGAGGUGCGGAAGACUCGGGGAAACUUGAGCUAUUCCCGUAUACGCUCUUGCGAGGAARGAUUCAUCGUCUUUAGACGGGCCCGCGUCGGAUUAGCUAGUUGGUGGGGUAACGGCCUACCAAGGCGACGAUCCGUAGCUGAUCUGAGAGGAUGAUCAGCCACACUGGGACUGAGACACGGCCCAGACUCCUACGGGAGGCAGCAGUGGGGAAUCUUGGACAAUGGGCGCAAGCCUGAUCCAGCCAUGCCGCGUGAGUGAAGAAGGCCUUCGGGUUGUAAAGCUCUUUUGCCAGGGACGAUAAUGACGGUACCUGGAGAAUAAGCCCCGGCAAACUUCGUGCCAGCAGCCGCGGUAAUACGAAGGGGGCUAGCGUUGUUCGGAAUUACUGGGCGUAAAGCGCACGUAGGCUGACAGUUAAGUGAGGGGUGAAAUCCCGAGGCUCAACCUCGGAACUGCCUUUCAUACUGGCUGUCUCGAGUCCGGAAGAGGUUAGUGGAAUUCCUAGUGUAGAGGUGARAUUCGUAGAUAUUACGAAGAACACCAGUGGCGAARGCGGCUAACUGGUCCGGUACUGACGCUGAGGUGCGAAAGCGUGURGAGCRAACASGAUUAGAUACCCUGSUAGUCCACGCCGUAMACUAUGGGUGCUAGCCGAUGGGAAGCUUGCUUCUCAGUGGCGCAGCUAACGCAUUAAGCAUCCCG